rnacentral:rRNA from 1 species
GACGAACGCUGGCGGCGUGCUUAACACAUGCAAGUCGAACGGAAAGGCCCUGCUUUUGUGGGGUGCUCGAGUGGCGAACGGGUGAGUAACGCGUGAGUAACCUGCCCUUGACUUUGGGAUAACUUCAGGAAACUGGGGCUAAUACCGGAUAGGAGCUCCUGCUGCAUGGUGGGGGUUGGAAAGUUUCGGCGGUUGGGGAUGGACUCGCGGCUUAUCAGCUUGUUGGUGGGGUAGUGGCUUACCAAGGCUUUGACGGGUAGCCGGCCUGUGAGGGUGACCGGCCACAGUGGGACUGAGAUACGGCCCAGACUCCUACGGGAGGCAGCAGUGGGGAAUAUUGCACAAUGGGCGGAAGCCUGAUGCAGCAACGCCGCGUGCGGGAUGACGGCCUUCGGGUUGUAAACCGCUUUCGACUGUGACGAAGCGUGAGUGACGGUAAUGGGUAAAGAAGCACCGGCUAACUACGUG